rnacentral:rRNA from 1 species
UACGGGGGGGGCAAGCGUUGUUCGGAAUUACUGGGCGUAAAGGGCUCGUAGGUGGCCAACUAAGUCAGACGUGAAAUCCCUCAGCUUAACCGGGGAACUGCGUCUGAUACUGGAUGGCUUGAGUUCGGGAGAGGGAUGCGGAAUUCCAGGUGUAGCGGUGAAAUGCGUAGAUAUCUGGAGGAACACCGGUGGCGAAGGCGGCAUCCUGGACCGACACUGACACUGAGGAGCGAAAGCCAGGGGAGCAAACGGG